GACGAACGCUGGCGGCGUGCCUAAUACAUGCAAGUUGAGCGAUGAAGAUUGGUGCUUGCACCAAUUUGAAGAGCAGCGAACGGGUGAGUAACGCGUGGGGAAUCUGCCUUUGAGCGGGGGACAACAUUUGGAGACGAAUGCUAAUACCGCAUAAUAACUUUAAACAUAAGUUUUAAGUUUGAAAGAUGCAAUUGCCUCACUCAAAGAUGAUCCCGCGUUGUAUUAGCUAGUUGGUGAGGUAAAGGCUCACCAAGGCGAUGAUACAUAGCCGACCUGAGAGGGUGAUCGGCCACAUUGGGACUGAGACACGGCCCAAACUCCUACGGGAGGCAGCAGUAGGGAAUCUUCGGCAAUGGACGAAAGUCUGACCGAGCAACGCCGCGUGAGUGAAGAAGGUUUUCGGAUCGUAAAACUCUGUUGGUAGAGAAGAACGUUGGCGAGAGUGGAAAGCUCAUCAAGUGACGGUAACUACCCAGAAAGGGACGGCUAACUACGUG
rnacentral:rRNA from 1 species